ACGCUGGCGGCGUGCCUAAUACAUGCAAGUCGAGCGAACAGAUAAGGAGCUUGCUCCUUUGACGUUAGCGGCGGACGGGUGAGUAACACGUGGGUAACCUACCUAUAAGACUGGGAUAACUUCGGGAAACCGGAGCUAAUACCGGAUAACAUUUGGAACCGCAUGGUUCUAAAGUGAAAGAUGGUUUUGCUAUCACUUAUAGAUGGACCCGCGCCGUAUUAGCUAGUUGGUAAGGUAACGGCUUACCAAGGCGACGAUACGUAGCCGACCUGAGAGGGUGAUCGGCCACACUGGAACUGAGACACGGUCCAGACUCCUACGGGAGGCAGCAGUAGGGAAUCUUCCGCAAUGGGCGAAAGCCUGACGGAGCAACGCCGCGUGAGUGAUGAAGGGUUUCGGCUCGUAAAACUCUGUUAUUAGGGAAGAACAAACGUGUAAGUAACUGUGCACGUCUUGACGGUACCUAAUCAGAAAGCCACGGCUAACUACGUGCCAGCAGCCGCGGUAAUACGUAGGUGGCAAGCGUUAUCCGGAAUUAUUGGGCGUAAAGCGCGCGUAGGCGGUUUCUUAAGUCUGAUGUGAAAGCCCACGGCUCAACCGUGGAGGGUCAUUGGAAACUGGGAAACUUGAGUGCAGAAGAGGAAAGUGGAAUUCCAUGUGUAGCGGUGAAAUGCGCAGAGAUAUGGAGGAACACCAGUGGCGAAGGCGACUUUCUGGUCUGUAACUGACGCUGAUGUGCGAAAGCGUGGGGAUCAAACAGGAUUAGAUACCCUGGUAGUCCACGCCGUAAACGAUGAGUGCUAAGUGUUAGGGGGUUUCCGCCCCUUAGUGCUGCAGCUAACGCAUUAAGCACUCCGCCUGGGGAGUACGACCGCAAGGUUGAAACUCAAAGGAAUUGACGGGGACCCGCACAAGCGGUGGAGCAUGUGGUUUAAUUCGAAGCAACGCGAAGAACCUUACCAAAUCUUGACAUCCUUUGAAAACUCUAGAGAUAGAGCCUUCCCCUUCGGGGGACAAAGUGACAGGUGGUGCAUGGUUGUCGUCAGCUCGUGUCGUGAGAUGUUGGGUUAAGUCCCGCAACGAGCGCAACCCUUAAGCUUAGUUGCCAUCAUUAAGUUGGGCACUCUAGGUUGACUGCCGGUGACAAACCGGAGGAAGGUGGGGAUGACGUCAAAUCAUCAUGCCCCUUAUGAUUUGGGCUACACACGUGCUACAAUGGACAAUACAAAGGGCAGCUAAACCGCGAGGUCAUGCAAAUCCCAUAAAGUUGUUCUCAGUUCGGAUUGUAGUCUGCAACUCGACUACAUGAAGCUGGAAUCGCUAGUAAUCGUAGAUCAGCAUGCUACGGUGAAUACGUUCCCGGGUCUUGUACACACCGCCCGUCACACCACGAGAGUUUGUAACACCCGAAGCCGGUGGAGUAACCAUUUAUGGAGCUAGCCGUCGAAGGUGGACAA
rnacentral:rRNA from 1 species